GCGACUUCUGCUUCCGCCCGCAACUUCUAUCAAGACUUCGACAUAACCUGGGGAGAUGGCCGAGGUCAGAUCCUCAACAAUGGCGACCUCCUCACUCUCUCCCUUGACAAGGCCUCCGGCUCCGGCUUCCAGUCCAAGAACGAGUACUUGUUCGGCAAGAUUGACAUGCAGCUCAAACUUGUUCCUGGCAACUCUGCUGGCACCGUCACCGCAUACUAUGUAAGUCUCCUCGGUAAUUAGUUUGUGCCCCUUGGUCUUCAAGCAUCGUUCUUUUUUCUUGAUUCGAUUUUAACUUAUGCUAUAUUGUUAUUCCCCAGUUAUCUUCAAAUGGGUCGACGUGGGACGAGAUAGAUUUCGAGUUCUUGGGGAAUUUAAGUGGCGAUCCGUACAUUCUUCACACCAACGUGUUCAGCCAAGGCAAGGGCAACCGAGAGCAGCAAUUCUAUCUCUGGUUCGACCCAACUGCUGAUUUCCACACCUACUCCAUCCUCUGGAAUCCACAACGCAUCAUGUAAGAGUCUGAAAAGCUCAAAAUGCGACCUUACUUGCAUUUACAUUGCGCUACACUAUUCUCUGUAGCAUUUACUCAAAAACCGGUGUGUGCGACCAUUGCAGAUUCUCAGUGGACGGGACUCCCAUCAGAGAGUUCAAGAACGCAGAGUCGAUCGGCGUUCCUUUCCCCAAGGCCCAGCCCAUGAGGAUAUUCUCGAGCCUCUGGAACGCGGACGACUGGGCAACCAGAGGCGGGCUCGUGAAAACGGACUGGACACAAGCGCCCUUCACUGCUUCCUACAGCAACUUCAAUGCCGAUAACGCCUGCGUUUGGUCAUCUGGGUCGUCAUCUUGCACUUCAUCUUCAUCUUCUUCGGAUGGUAAUGCAUGGCUAUCAGAAGAGCUCGACUCAACAAGCCAAGAGAGCCUGAAGUGGGUGCAAAGCAACUACAUGAUCUACAACUACUGCACGGAUGCCAAAAGAUUCCCCCAAGGCUUCCCUCCCGAGUGCUCCAUGUCCUAGACGACACAAGACAUUGAUUUUGUAAAAAAUUCGCUGUUCUUUUUCUUCUUUUUCGAGCCAAUUCUAUUAAUUUGUUUUGUGGCCGAGAAGCAAUUGAUAUUUUUUUAUUCUUUGACGAUUGUAGCAUUCCUAUCUUUACUCAAUAAAACAGAAAAUCAUCUUGGAUUUCAUAGUAUUGCUGCGACUCAGUGAGUGGAUACAACACAGAACAAAAUUAAGGGAAUGAAAAUGGAUUUUACAGGCCAGCUCCUGCCUUGAAUAUGAAACUGAUGACACAAUUGAUUACGCCGUCGUAGCUCAGAAAAUUAGAUAAACGCUACGUUGAACAAGUUCUGUUUUUAUGUUGAAUUCAACUCCGAUGUCCUCAUCGAGGGACUGAUUUGGUCGACAUUUCUUCCUGGUCCUUGUGCUCCACAGAAGGAUCAAACAUAGAAAACCGAUCAUCACAAUACCAUCAUGACCAGACAAGCUUUCCAAAUCUGCAAACUCAAAGAACAUCCUUGACUCCAACACAGAAUCAACCAUGAUUUACGGCCGAUCAACCUCAAGUCAACCCAACUUAAAGAGCAAGGUGCCGCAAACUAGGAUCCAAAAAUCGUACUGUGUGCCUGCAACCCCUCCCGCAACUGACGGUACUCUUAGCUGAUUUCACAAACUCUAAUGUUAAAUAGCUUCGGGGACUCUAAUGGCAAUGCUGCACAACCGAACACUUGUAAGUGAGAUAUAACAGGAGUAGUAUCAUAAAGAACCUUCCGAGGAGACAAAUUGUCUAGAACAGGAGUUGGGAGAUCAAGUGAACUGCAGUCUCAAAAGCAAAUUCCCAGAGAUGACAAGGAAGAGCAGACUCAUCAUGAGACCAAGGCCAGUUUCCACUGUAUUGGCAAUGCUUGCAUUCAACGGUCCCAUUUUGAAAUAGAGAUUAUGCACAAUAAAUGCGCCAAUGAAUGCCAUGACUGAGAAGGUAAGAGUGCAUGGUAGAGGAUAAGAACUCGGGUGCUCCAUCACACUAAAUCAUCUAAAGCUUGCACUGAAGUUGAGUCUUCAUAAGGGCAUGAAAGGCUUUAAAAAUGUUGAAAAAUUGAUCUUGAGAUGCGAGGGGAUAAAGCCAAGUAAAUCAAUAAAAUUCAUCAAUAAAACAGCCGUAAUAUUUAUAAAACAGGAGGCAGACCCCAAACAUCAAAAUGAACUAGCUGAAGAGAGGAAGCCCUAGGUCUGUGUACGUCAAAUCACAUAAAUUGUUCCGUCUAGGCGUUCUCCGAAGGAUGGAGAAGAAAGGAGACCAGAGAUUGUGGCAGCAGGAGUUGUGGGUCUGGUGAUGGUUGUAGUGGAAGGCUGGGAUUGUUGUAAAGUUGUUUGUUCGGCAGAGGAGGAAUUUGCAGAGGAAUUUGAGUCACUCGUAUUUAGAUCGAUGGGCUUUUGCCUUUUUGAUACCAAGACAGAAAUAGAGAUGCAGAAAGAAAACAGAGAAUAUAGAAGACAUAAGAAAAGUGUGUGUGUAUAUAUAAAUAUAGAAAGAAUCUCUAGAGAUAGAUAUUGACAACAAAAUUUGUAACCACCAAUGAAGAUAAUAUUUGAAUCAAUCAAGGAUUACAUAUUAUGCGUAGAUUCUGAUUGUGUGGUGAUUCUGGUAACGUUAUCAAUCUCGGAUUGGAUAUCAUGCGAAUAUCUUGAUUAUACUGUGAGUCAUAUGCGAGCUAGAGAUAAUAUUUGAUUCUGGUGUGAGCUCGAAUAGUUAGCAGUGGAUUGCGUCAACAGAUAGCUUCAGAUAGAAUCUUCCUGAUAAUCACUCAAAUCCUAAGUUUGUCAUCCAUACAAAUUGCACAACCAAAGAAGCAUCGGCAUAAUGCUGCUGCAAAUUCAAGACGUCAAAGCAUAUAUAUAAGGCAAAACCUGAAGAUUACCUUCCUCCAACCAAACAAAGUCCAUUUCCAUCUUCUUUUCCCAGCUAAAAGAAUGCACCAAUCACCAGUAAAAGAAAACUCCUUGUACUUAUCCUUUCAAACCAUCCUUGCAAAUUGUCAAUAUGCGGAAUUUCUGAAAAAAGGUGAUAAUAAUCGACUCUUUUAAAUCAGAGAGAAAUAUAAGUUGAACAAAGAGACAGAACACGAAUACACGAAUAAUUUAAAGGAAAUAAAAAUUGAAUAGAGGGAAAGAUAAGAAAGGAUCUGAAACAGAGGAUUUCGGGUGCCUCUGCAGACAUUUGCUGCACGGAAUUCUCUUCAUGAUCUCAACUUGCAAUCUCCGUCAAAAAAUUUUGAUUGAACAAAUAAAGAGGUUAACCCGAGUGAAGUUAACAAAAAUUGAUUGACUUGAGCCAACGCAACAUUCGGCUGAACUUUUUUUACAUUUUAGAACCAAAAAAGCAUGCAUAAUCUGAACAAUUUUAAAUGUAAUUUAUUAUAUUCUCUCCAAAGAUUUGAGGUGUUGUAUGUUAAGUUGAGGUGAAAUAGCAAAGUUAAAUUUGAAAAGGUAAGAAAUGAGAAAAAUAAAAUAGAAUCGGAAUGUAUCUAGAUAGAACGCAUUCCCGAAUCGUACAUGUAGAAUAGUGGGAGGAGACAUGUGGGUUCUCAAAGAGUACGAGUUUUCAAUAUGUCCGCUCUUUGGUGUCGAAAGAGAACGGACUUUUGCUUUCCAUGAAAGUUUUUAGAUGCUUCUCCUAUAAUGUCUCUGCCUAAGAUACAUGAAGAUGAUAGUCGACGUGAUCUCUAAUGUAUGCAAAUUAUAGUGCACGGGAAGAAGGUACGUACCCCACCAUAUGAGAUCCACCGACAUUAGGUGAAGGAAAAGCAGCGACCGCUCAUGGUGAAGCAUGUAGCUGGUAGGGGUGAGCAGCGGUCUAGGGUCGACCCUGGACCGACCCUAGACCGGCCCAACCCUGCCGGUCUUGGUCCGGUUCCCAAGGGGACCGGGUCGGUCCUUGAUCCUGAAUUUCCAGAACCAACACUGUGCGGGUUGGUCCUCGAUCCUAAGAGUUUUUGGUCAGUCCAACCCUGGACCAACCCUGUAUAUUAUAUUAUAUUAUUUAUAAUUAUUUUAUAUAUUCAAACCUAAGUAAAAUGUCUGUUAUAUUAUAUUAUAUUAAGAUGUUAUAUCAAUAGAACUAAUAAUAAUUUCAAUUUAAAACUUUUGUUGAGUAUUAAUUAUGUGUCAUUUGUUUUGUUUUCAGGUAUUUAGAAGUUCAAGUGAAUUAACAAAAUGUGAAGUUAUAUAUUCAUGGUUUAUAUUAAGUAUUUUGAACUUUUUAUGGUUUAAUUGUAUUUUAUUAAUGAAUUUUAGCUGCACUUUAUUUUUCAAUUUGUGUCAAAUGGUAUAAAUUUUUUAAGAGUAGAGUAAUACUGCAGUUGCUACGGUGAUUUGCUAGUCAAGUGGUGUGAAGCUCAUUUUUUGGUUGAGUGGACUUUACAAUCAAAUGCAAGAAAACGCUUUUGCAUAUGGUGUUAUGAAUAUUAAAGAUAGAUGAUUACAAGAACUUUCCAUCUUGUCCCAUAUCUCGAUGAGCGGUUAAUAGCUACGGAAUUUCUAUUAUUGUGUCAUCUUAAAUUUACUAAAUAUGUAUUGGUAUUUAUAAUUUAGUUGCACAAUGCCGCAUUAUCGAUGGAUGUGUAAUUUGAAUUUGUAGGUUUACUUUUUUAAGGAGUAUAAAAAAUAAGACGAAAAAAAUUAUUGAUCGGUCUCGGGUUGACCCUGAAACCGGACCGAACCCAUUGGGUCGGUCCGGUCCUUGGUCCCAAGCUCAAUAGGGUCGGUUCUCGGUCCUAAAAAUUGAGGACCGACACUGUAUGGGUGGGUCCUAGGGUUAGGGGAUGGCCCGAAUCAACCCGGACCAUGCUCACCCCUAGUAGCUGGUGGUGAACAGACGAUAGAGCCCGUCUCCGUGUGGGGAAGCUCCAUGUCGUCUCGAACCGCGUUGCCUCAUAAUUUAUUUGCAUGCUGGACGUGCGUUGGUAGUGGUAGUGUCACUGUUUGUCCUCUUCUUUUUUAAAGCAACUUCUAUAUUGGAAGCCAACUGUCCACAGCUGAGUUAGCGUGGGGGGUUGACUCCCACCAAUCCUUCGUUGCCUCUCCUCAUCUCUCACACGUUUUCUCCCAUCUUCAUCUUCGGUACGAAGCUAUAAAUACCAUCUCCACAUCUCUCCCAUUUCAUCAAUCAACGCAAACACUCCACAUCUCUCUCUCCUCUUCAGUCCUCACUCUCAUAUCAUCUCAUUGAGAUUUGCUUCUCUUCUUCAACUACAGCAGCAGCAGCAGCAGACAGAACACGCCCAAUAUGGCCUCCCUUUCUACUUCUUCGCUUUGCAUCGCCACUCUGCUUCUCGUGGUCGUUUCUUGGGGGACGUUUGCUUCCGCCCGCAACUUCUAUCAAGACUUCGACAUAACCUGGGGUGAUGGCCGAGCUCAGAUCCUCAACAACGGCGACCUCCUCACUCUCUCCCUCGACAAGGCCUCCGGCUCCGGCUUCCAGUCCAAGAACGAGUACUUGUUCGGCAAGAUUGACAUGCAGCUCAAGCUAGUUCCCGGCAACUCCGCUGGCACCGUCACCGCAUACUAUGUAAGUCUCCUUCUUAAUCAGUUUGUGCCCCUUUAUCUUCAAGCUUCCUUCUUUUUUUCUCGAUCAGAUUUUUAAUUUUUGCUAUGUUGUUAUUCUACAGUUAUCUUCAAACGGGUCGGCGUGGGAUGAGAUAGACUUCGAGUUCUUGGGGAACUUGAGCGGCGAUCCAUACAUUCUCCACACCAACGUCUUCAGCCAAGGCAAGGGUAACCGAGAGCAGCAAUUCUAUCUCUGGUUCGACCCAACUGCUGAUUUCCACACCUACUCCAUCCUCUGGAAUCCACAACGCAUCAUGUAAGAGUCUGAAAAGCUCAAAAUGCGACCUUACUUGCAUUUACAUUGCGCUACACUAUUCUCUGCGGCAUUUACUCAAAUACCUUUGUGCGCGACCAUUGCAGAUUCUCAGUGGACGGGACUCCCAUCAGAGAGUUCAAGAACGCAGAGUCCAUCGGUGUUCCCUUCCCCAAGGCCCAGCCCAUGAGGAUAUUCUCGAGCCUCUGGAACGCGGACGACUGGGCGACCAGAGGCGGGCUCGUGAAGACGGACUGGACGCAAGCGCCCUUCACUGCUUCCUACAGGAACUUCAACGCCGAUAACGCCUGCGUUUGGUCAUCUGGGUCGUCAUCUUGCACUUCGUCUUCAUCUUCUUCGGAUGGUAAUGCAUGGCUAGCAGAAGAGCUUGACUCGACAAGCCAAGAGAGGCUCAAGUGGGUGCAGAGCAACUACAUGAUCUACAACUACUGCACGGAUGCCAAAAGAUUCCCCCAGGGCUUCCCUCCUGAGUGCUCCAUGUCCUAAACGACACAAGACAUAGGAUUUGUAGAAAAUUCUCUAUUCGUUUUUUUCCCUUUUUGGAGCCGAUUCUAUCAAUCUGUUAAUCUCUCUCUCUCUCUCUCUCUCUCUCUCUCUCUCGUCGAGAAGCAAUUGAUAUUCUUUUAUUCUUUGACACGUGUCACAUUCUUGUCUUUAUUAAAUGAAACAGAAAAUCAUCUUGGAUUUCAUAGCAUUGCUGUGAUUCUCAGUACACAUGUUUUUACAUGACCCCGAAGUGUAGGUUCGAAGUCUUGUAAUCAGUCUUGUAAUCUAUACAAUAAAUACUCCAAGCAAUGCUAUUUCUACUGUCUAUAAGGAUUUUCCCACGGCUAAUUUAGUAAAUUAAAAAAAUCACCCUCAAAGAAGAGGGAAAACAAAGAAAAAAAAAAGAAAAAAAGAAAAGAAAAAAUAAUUCGAAUUUAAAAAUAAAAGGGGGGGGGGGGGAGAGGAGGAGGAGGAAAUGAAGGCUUGGAAGAGUGUGAGAUAAGAGAAACCAAGUAAGAAAAAGUGGAAAACAUUUUUCCCUAGUUUAAAAGACUUUUUUUUCCUCAUUCAUGGAAAAUGUUUUCCCCAAGCAAUUCAUUUUUUUGUGAAAUAAACGUUGGAACUUUGGAAAACAUUUUUUUAGAAAUUAUUUUCCGCAAAACGAAUGAAGCCUGAAUGUAAACUUUGUAUGACCGGUACAAAAGAUAUAAACCACUUAUUCUUUUAGUGCACCUGGACAAGUAGUGUAUGGCAUAGUAUUUUGGUACAAAAUGGAAUUUGACAUUAUGUAGGAGGUUGGAACUUAGAACUUCAAUGAAUGAUUGGAGACACCAAGGGUAAAAACUUGAAGAUGAGACUCCUCAAGCUAUCUUUUUUAGCGACAAUCUAUUACAUCUGGAUGGAACACAAUCGCAAAUGAUUUCAAAACAAGUAGAUUGAGACUCAUGUUCUGUUAACUAAGAUUCAAAAGAUUGUAAGAGGUAAGACGUCACUCUACUAAAAAUGUAGGUCUUUCUAGGCAAAUGUUUUAUUAGCUCCUGUAUGGAGCCUCCCUCCUUCCAUCUUUUCGCAUUAAUGGUCUCUUUAUAAUGUUAGGGGAUCCCCCUAAGCUUAGUACCUCAUAUGAUUAAUGAUAUUCACAUAUUUACAAUUUUUUUUUUUUAAAAGUGCGAAAAUGAAAACCUGACAGUAGUCGACCAAAGAAUACACAUGGCCAUGUUUUAGAGCUUUAGGACAGGAUCCACCUUGAGUAAAAUGGAAAUUUAAGUAUUCAUGAAAUUAUUCUAAACGUGUGACAUUACACUAUUCUAAUCCAUGCCAAACAAAUUAUUUAUAAUAAAAGUUAUUUAUAGAAUACCCAAAAAAGCACUAAUUAGGGGAUGACUUUAGAAAAUUAGAGAAAUUCCAAACCUAUCAUUUAUGCUCUAGUUUAUUUAACAGUAAUAUAUACUUUUUGGUUUUCUUCCAUAUUUUUUAAUUAUUAUUUUUAAAAUUUGUUUGAAAAAUAAUAUCAAUUCAUUAGACUGAAGUAUGCUUAAUUCAAAUAAACAUGGACCAAUUCAAAACAUGAAUAUCACAUUAAUAAAGCUCGAAUCAACCUGUUCAAGAUUGGAAUGUGGUUUGGGCAUUUCGUCGAACGACCAAUGUGCAUUAGAAUACACAGACCAGUUCGUGACCUUCAAUCUUGACUCGAAAGUGAUCUUAAGCUCAAACAAGACAUCAGAGUUAUACUAAAACUUUUAGGGGAAAAUAUGAACAAGAAAUAAGAUCCCAAAAUACAUUAAAUUAUAAUUUAGCCUACCUUAUAUUGGUUCAACCUACUUUUGCAAAUCGAGGUUUGAACCCUAGUCAAGAAAAUAGGUCGCCUACCCCGAUUCAAGCCCUUAUAUCUAAUAUACUAAAGACUUUGGGAAAAAUUCACUCAAUCUGAAUGAAUGUAUGUAUUACGAGAUUUCAAAUGCAACAAACAUCCCAGAUAAUGAUCAACUACAAAGGUCAAAAUGACCCCUCAAAGUGGCCUUCAUGCAUGAUCCACACAAGCUAGCCAUCUAGUGUGAAUCGGUUCAGUUUUUUGUUCAAGUUCUAAGUGCUCCAUGGCUCAUAUAGAGAUUUAAAAACCAAAUGAAGUUGACCUAAGUAUCAUUUGUAAUCCCAUAUAAUAUUCAUCAAGUUUACAAAGACAGAUAACUCAUGUAAACAAGUGUAGCAAGUCAAGUAUGCAAGACUCUUGAAGCUAGUUCAACACUUAGAAAACCAGCCUCAGAUAUAAGUUUCCUAACUCUUGAUUUUCCAUGGUCAAAAUUGAACAAAAAUGCAUUUAAGAUCCCUACCUUGCUACCUAGUUGCUGCUCCUAAUAAGCUUCUAAGAUGGCAAAGAGAGUAGGAUUUGAAUUGCACACCAAAGAGAGAGAGGGUAUGCUUGGGACAUAUUUGUAAAAAUUGGAAUUAAUUUACGAAAGUACCUAAGUUUAGAGCAUCACCAAGAUAUGUGACCUCCUAGGAAAGUGUCUUCCUGUACGACAAAACAAAAGUUUGAGACUUUGUAUUGGAAGGGCCAAAAGGACAAUAUCUCGACUAAGUUAAUAAAUUAAUGUUAAUGUCGUUACAACAUUAAUUUCAAUUUUCACAAAUAUAAGUCAAGCGCACUCUUCUCAUGUUAGGUGUGGAAUUCUAUUUAUUCAUGUCCCCUUCACCAUUCUAGAAAUCUACUAUGAGCCAUUUUUUUAUCUGAAUCCUCUGGCUCCAACGACUACUCUUUCCCCCAUCAAACGGGAUGUGCUGUCUUCACUAUGAGAAACGACAUUAGCUGGCGGAAAAGCAGCGAGAGGUCAUGAUAACGCAUGUGCUGCUGGCGGUCGAUGGAUGAUCGAGCUCGUCUCUGCGUGGGGGUGGGCGUGCGAGGGGAAGCUUCGUGGUGUCUCUAACCGCGUCCCACUAAUUUAUUUGUACGACGGAGGUUGGUAUGUCGCCGCUCGUCUGUCUUCUUUUCAGAAUCAUAUUUUAAUAUCAGAAGCCAACUGUCCACAGUUGAGUCGGUGUCGAGGUUUGACUCCCAUCAAUCCUUCUUUGCCUCUCCUGUUCUCUCACACGUUUUCUCCCUCCUCCAUCUUCGGCACGAAGCUAUAAAUACCAUCUCCACAUCUCUCCCAUUUCAUCAACCAACAGAAACACCCACAUCUCUCCCUCCUCUUCAGUCCUCACUCUCAUAUCAUCUUUGCUUCUCUUCAGCAACUACAGCAGCAGCAGAAAGACAGACAGAACACGCCCAAUAUGGCCUUCCCUUCUACUUCCUCACUUUGCAUCACUACACUGCUUCUCGUGGUCGUUUCUUGGGCGACGUCUGCUUCCGCCCGCAACUUCUAUCAAGACUUCGACAUAACCUGGGGUGAUGGCCGAGCUCAGAUCCUCAACAACGGCGACCUCCUCACUCUCUCCCUUGACAAGGCCUCCGGCUCUGGCUUCCAGUCCAAGAACGAGUACUUGUUCGGCAAGAUUGACAUGCAGCUCAAGCUCGUUCCCGGCAACUCCGCAGGCACCGUCACCGCAUACUAUGUAAGCCUCGUCCUUAAAAAGUUGGUGCCCCUUCAUCUUUAAGCUUCCUUCUUUUUUUCUUGAUCAGAUUUUAAUUUUUGCUAUGUUGUUAUUCUACAGUUAUCUUCAAAUGGGUCGACGUGGGACGAGAUAGACUUCGAGUUCUUGGGGAACUUGAGCGGCGAUCCAUACAUUCUUCACACCAACGUGUUCAGCCAAGGCAAGGGCAACCGAGAGCAGCAAUUCUAUCUCUGGUUCGACCCAACUGCUGAUUUCCACACCUACUCCAUCCUCUGGAAUCCACAACGCAUCAUGUAAGAGUCUGAAAAGCUCAAAUGCUACCUUACUUGCAUUUACAUUGCGCUACACUUUUCCCUGCAGCAUUUACUCAAUAACCUUUGUAUGCGACCAUUGCAGAUUCUCAGUCGACGGGACUCCCAUCAGAGAGUUCAAGAACGCAGAGUCCGUCGGUGUUCCCUUCCCCAAGGCCCAGCCCAUGAGGAUAUUCUCGAGCCUCUGGAACGCAGACGACUGGGCGACCAGAGGCGGGCUCGUGAAGACGGACUGGACGCAAGCGCCCUUCACUGCUUCCUACAGGAACUUCAACGCCGAUAACGCCUGCGUUUGGUCAUCUGGGUCGUCAUCUUGCACUUCGUCUUCAUCUUCUUCGGAUGGUAAUGCAUGGCUAGCAGAAGAGCUUGACUCGACAAGCCAAGAGAGGCUCAAGUGGGUGCAGAGCAACUACAUGAUCUACAACUACUGCACGGAUGCCAAAAGAUUCCCCCAAGGCUUCCCUCCCGAGUGCUCCAUGUCCUAGACGACACAAGACAUUGAUUUUGUAAAAAAUUCUCUUUUCUUUUUCUUCUUUUUUCGAGCCAAUUCUAUUCAUUUGUUUUGUGGCCGAGAAGCAAUUGAUAUUCUUUUAUUCGUUGACGAUUGUAACAUUCCUAUCUUUACUCAAUAAAACAGAAAAUCAUCUUAGAUUUCAUAGUAUUGCUGCGACUCAUGAGUGGAUACAACACAGAACAAAAUUAAUGGAAUGAAAAUGGAUUUUACAGGCCAGCUCCUGCCUUGAAUAUGAAACUGAUGACACAAUUGAUUACGCUGUCGCAGCUCAGAAAAUUAGAUAAACGCUACGUUGAACUAGUUUUGUUUUUAUGUUGAAUUCAACUCCGAUAUCCUCAUCGAGGGACUGAUUUGGUCGACAUUCCUUCCUGGUCCUUGUGCUCCACAGAAGGAUCAAACAUAGAAAACCGAUCAUCACAAUACCAUCAUGACCAGACAAGCUUUCCAAAUCUGCAAACUCAAAAAACAUUUUUGACUCCAACAUAGAAUCAACCAUGAUUUACGGCCGAUCAACCUCAAGUCAACCUAACUUAAAGAGCAAGGUGCCGUAAACUAGGAUCCAAAAAUCGUACUGUGUGCAACCUGCAACCCCUCCCACAAUUGAUGGUACUAUUAGCUGAUUUCACAAACUCUAAUGUUAAAUAGCUUCAGGGACUCUAAUGGAAAUGCUGCACAAUCGAACACUUGUAAGUGAGAUAUAUCAGAGUAGUAUCAUAAAGAACCUUUCGAGGAGACAAAUUGUCUAGAACAGGAGUUGGGAGAUCAAGUGAACUGCAGUCUCAAAAGCAAAUUCCCAGAGAUGACAAGGAAGAGCAGACUCAUCAUGAGACCAAGGCCAGUUUCCACUGUAUUGGCAAAGCUUGCGUUCAACGGUCCCAUUUUGAAAUAGAGAUUAUGCACAAUAGAAGCGCUGAUGAAUGCCGUGACUGAGAAGGUAAGAGUGCAUGGUAGAGGAUAAGUGUGACAUCCUGAAUUUCGACCUUGUCUCGAUUAAAUGAAAUAGGCAUUUCGUUGAUGCGCCUAUGGUCUUUUUUCUCAAAGCUGAUCACUCUCGAGUUAACUUAUCUAUCGGGUGAAGCUGUUAAGGGAUAUAAACUCGACAGACUUGAGAAUUCAAUCAGAAAUCGAUUGCUCGACCAUGAUAAUUGGCAAGGGUCAAUAUGACACAAUUAUAAUCGAUUAGUAAUCGGAUAUAAUUCGAUUCGAUGGAAUGACGUAAUUAAAUCAUGGGUGAUUCCACAUAAUUGCAAAAUUUGCGUCGAACGCACUAACCCAAUUAGGUGUCGAUUUUGUACUGGGUGUCCAUAAUUGAAAUCUUGAGAUUUUUAUGAUAAUCGAGAGUCACCAACGAGUCGGAGAUGCACAAACAUGAAUUGAAAUUAUCGACCAUGGGUGAAACGCACUAAAAUCCCUAAAAGCUACUUGGUAGGUUAGGUCACGCUAAAAUCAUGAAUUGAAAUUAUCGACCACGGGUGAAACGCACUAAAAUCCCUAAAAGCUACUUGGUAGGUUAGGUCACGCUAAAAUCAUAUCCGGUUCAUUUUAACCAUUGAGUUCGGAAUUUUACGAAAAAAUUGAUUUUCGGCAAAAAGAAAAUAAAAAAGGAAAUUCGGGGGUAGACCAAGUUGGAUUUUUCUACCUCUAGGCUUAUUUUGGGAAAUUAAGCUUAGGAAAGUAUUUUGGGAGGAUGAAAAUGAGCAUAGAGACUUUUGGGGCUUAGGUAAUGAUGGUUAGGGUAUUUUGCUUGGACUCUCUCUCCCUCUCUCCCUCUCUUUCACGCACACCUCCCUCCCCCCAGCAGACAUCUUCUUCUUCUCACAUAUCUUUCCUUUCCUCAUGUGUUCUUCAUCCCCUCAACCUCACGCUACCACACCAUUUUCUCCUCUACACCCACAAUCCAUCAACCAAUGCCAACAGCUCCUUGCCACACACCGCCAGCCCUGUAGCCCCCCAACGCCAAUACAGCACCUUCAUCUCACGUCCACCACCUAGCGGCAUCGUCCUUCACGCCCGCCGCAGCUCCCGCCAAGCUGCCACCGUCCACCACGCCAACGCAACUGCUCCGCCGAACUACUAGCACCACCCCACUUCACUGUCCGACUGCCCAACCGCUCAUUCCAGCCACCGUAGCCCCUCAAGUAGCCACGGUCCAGCAGCUACAAAACCGAACCAGCAACUCCAAGUCGUGGGCCCCUUGCAGUUUUCAGCCUCGGUUGGUCCUAUGUUGGAGACUCGGUAGUUUCAAGUCUUCAUCGCCUUCGCGCCGCCUUUGCCGUGAGCCCACCACUAUCGUAAUCUGGUGAGUUAACUCCAUAAUCCUUGAUUAGGUUUUUAAUUGCACUUAGGGGGUUAGAUUAGUACUAAUUAACUUAGUUAAAUUAGUAUUAAGUGAGAUUAGCCUUAAUAUGGAUUAGUGUUAAUCUAAUUGGUUAGAUUAGCACUAAUGAGGGUGGUUUAGUCUAAUUUAGUGGAUUUCUCUCGAAUCUGGUUACUGGACCCUUGCCGUUUGCUAUUUUUGUGGGGAGAAAUGCACAACGAUUUUGGAGUGGCUUCAUCUUGAGAAAUGUUUUAGAUAUCUUCAGUUAUGACAUAUAUUUUAGUCAAGAUUUUAUGGAUUUAAAAGAAUGAUAUUUCAACUUCGUUAUUUGCAAAAAAGAAUCUCGAAUUGUGCUGAGACCAGUGACUUUUUGGUGUUUAAUGGAUUUUUUUUCAACUCUUAGAGUUAUAUUUUCGAAACGAUUCCUUCACAAAAGUUGUUUAUCAUAUCUUGUAGUUUAAUAGAGUCAAAUUUCAAAUCAAACGAAUAAGUUUUGGCCUUCAAGCCAAACUGAUUUCAGAAAACAAACUUUCUAGAUACAAACACAGUUUUUGUAAUAGUUUGGGCAACUUACUGCUCUCAAUCUAGAAAAAUCUGGGUUAGGUAUCUACAUGAAAAAUGAUCUUUUAAGUGUCCUUUACAACAUAUUCAAAUUUGAGAAUUUUUUGAAUUCGUUUGGUUAUGUUUCUAGAAUUAAACUUGGAGACGCGCGAAUGGCCCAGUUUCUGCUAGUUAGGGCUGGUAGUGGUUUUGUGAUUAUUCUUGGUGCCGUGCUUGCUGGAUAAUGUGUAUUUGGUGAUAUGGUUGACUUUUGGCAUGCUUAGAGUUUAUGCUUGAUAAUAUGUGAAAUUAAUUGCUUAAUUGUGCAAUUGGGUGUCUGGGUUUUGUAUUAUUGCAAAAAUCGGAUUUUGGUAUUUAAAUAGAAAAAUACCGGAUGUUGGUUUUGAUGCCAAAAAUAUUUUAGGUACUAUAUAAAAUCCUGGAAUUUCGAAAUGGGAGAGUAUCACGUUUUAUAAUUUGAUUUGACUGUGUGACCACGCACAAUUAUUUUACCGAGUAUUUUUAAUUCGAAGAAAAUUGGCCAAGUCCAAAUGAAAAUAUUUGAGUGCAAAGCACGAUAUUCUUGGUUGAACAUGGAUGUGCGUGUGAUCGCUUAAGUACCCUGAUGUGUUUACGCAAGAUAGUGAACCCGUCUUGAUGCGUUUACGUAGGAUGAUGCAUGAUUAAGUUCAGAUGCCCUUGACAACGGAUGCCACUUGCAAUAAAGGUUGGGCCAAUGCUCCUUAUGGAAUGCGUUUACGUGGGACGUUGCCGUGCCUGAUGAAGUGAGACGACACCCGGUUAUGCCAGAUGACUGCCAACUAUUGAGUUGGACAUACAUGGCCGAUGGUCGUAAUAACUGCCGAGAGAUGUGCGCGUGCCCGAGAUUCGGGGCGUGACAAUAAAGAACUCGAGUGCUCCAUCACACUAAAUCAUCUAAAGCUUGCACUGAAGUUGAGUCUUCACAAGGGCAUGAAAGGCUUUAAAAAUGUUGAAAAAUUGAUCUUGAGAUGCGAAGGGAUAAAGCCAAAUAAAUCGAGAAAAGUCAUCAUUAAAACACCCGUAAUAUUUAUAAAACAGGAGGCAAACCCCAAACAUCAAAAUGAACUAGCUGAAGAGAGGAAGCCCUAGAUCCGUGUACGUCAAAUCACAUCUAGGCGUUCUCCGAAGGAUGGAGAAGAAAGGAGACCAGAGAUAGUGGCAGCAGGAGUUAUGGGUCUGGUGAUUGUUGUAGCGUUGUUUACUCGGCAGAGGAGGAAUUUGCAGAGGAAUUUGAGUCACACGUAUUUAGAUCGAUGGGCUUUUGCCUUUUUGAUACCAAGAUAAAAAUAGAGAUGCAGAAAGAAAACAGAGAAUAUAGGAGACAUAGGAAAAGUGAGUGUAUAUAUAUAAAUAUAGAAAGAAUCUCUAGGGAUAGAUAUUGACAACAAAAUUUGUAACUACCAAUGAAGAUAAUAUUUGAAUCAAUCAAGGAUUACAUAUUAUGCGUAGAUUCUGAUUGUGUGGUGAUUCUAGUGCGAGAACGUUGUCAAUCUCGGAUUGUAUAUCAUGCGAAUAUUCUGAUUAUGCUAUGAUUCAUAUGCGAGCUAGAGAUAACAUUUUAUUCUGGAGUGAGCUCGAAUAAUUAGCAGUGGACUGGGUCAACAGAUAGCUUCAAAUAGAAUCUUCAUGCUAAGUUUGUCCCCCCAUACAAAUUGCGCAACCAAAGAAGCAUCGGCAUAUAUAUUAUAAAAGACAAAACCUGAAGAUUACCUUCCUCUAACCAAACAAAGUCCAUUUCCAUCUUCUUUUCCCAGCUAAAAGAAUGCACCAAUCACCAAUAAAAGAAAACUCCUUGUACUUAUCCUUUCAAACCAUCCUUGCAAAUUGUCAAUAUGCCGAGUUUCCCAAAAAAGGUGAUAAUAAUCGACUCUUUUAAAUCAGAGAGAAAUAUAAGUUGAACAAAGAGACAGAACACGAAUACACGAAUAAUUUAAAGGAAAUAAAAAUUGAACAGAGGGAAAGAUAAGAAAGGAUCUGAAACAGAGGAUUUCGGGUGCCUCUGCAGACAUUUGCUGCACAGAAUUCUCUUCAUGAUCUCAACUUGCAAUCUCCAUCAAAAAAUUUUGAUUGAACCGAGAUGUAAACCCGAGGAACAAAUAAAGUGGUUAACCCGAGUGAAGUUAACAAAAAUUAAUUGACCUGAGCCAACGCAUCAUUCGGCCGAUUUUUUUUUUACAUUUUAGAACCAAAAAAGCAUGCAUAAUCUGAACAAUUUUAAAUGUAAUUUAUUAUAUUCUCUCCAAAGAUUUGAGGUGUUGUAUGUUAAGUUGAGGUGAAAUAGGAAAGUUAAAUGCAAAAAGAUAAGAAAUGAGAAAAAGAAAAUAGAACCGGAAUGUAUCUAGACAAAACGCAUUCCUAAAUCGUACAUGUAAAACAGUGGGAGGAGACAUGUGGGUUCUCAAAGAGUACAAAUUUUCAAUAUGUCCGCUCUUUGGUGUCAAGAGAGAAUGAAUUUUUACUUUCCAUGAAAGUUUUUAGAUGCUCCUCCUAUAAUAUCUCUGCCUAAGGUACAUGAAGAUGAUAGGCGCAAUGAUCUCUAACGUAUGCAAAUUAUAGUGCGCGGGAAGAAUGUAAGUACCCCACCAUAUGAGAUCCACCGACAUUAGCUGGCGGAAAAGCAGCGACCGCUCAUGGUGAAGCAUGUAGCUGGCGGUGAACAGACGAUAGAGCCCGUCUCCGUGUGGGGAAGCUCCAUGUCGUCUCGAACCGCGUUGCCUCAUAAUUUAUUUGCAUGGGGAAUGUGGGUUGGUGUGUCACUGUUUGUCCUCUUCUUUUUUAAAGCAAUUUCUAUAUUGGAAGCCAACUGUCCACAGCUGAGUUAGCGUGGGGGGUUGACUCCCACCAAUCCUUCGUUGCCUCUCCUCAUCUCUCACACGUUUUCUCCCAUCUUCAUCUUCGGUAGGAAGUUAUAAAUACCAUCUCCACAUCUCUCCCAUUUCAUCAAUCAACGCAAACACUCCACAUCUCUCUCUCCUCUUCAGUCCUCACUCUCAUAUCAUCUCAUUGAGAUUUGCUUCUCUUCUUCAACUACAGCAGCAGCAGCAGCAGACAGAACACGCCCAAUAUGGCCUCCCUUUCUACUUCUUCGCUUUGCAUCGCCACUCUGCUUCUCGUGGUCGUUUCUUGGGGGACGUUUGCUUCCGCCCGCAACUUCUAUCAAGACUUCGACAUAACCUGGGGUGAUGGCCGAGCUCAGAUCCUCAACAACGGCGACCUCCUCACUCUCUCCCUCGACAAGGCCUCCGGCUCCGGCUUCCAGUCC
rnacentral:lncRNA from 1 species